rnacentral:rRNA from 1 species
GACGAACGCUGGCGGCGUGCUUAACACAUGCGAGUCGAACGGAAAGGCCCUGCGUUUGUGGGGUGCUCGAGUGGCGAACGGGUGAGUAACACGUGAGUAACCUGCCCUUGACUUUGGGAUAACUUCAGGAAACUGGGGCUAAUACCGGAUAGGAGCUCCUGCUGCAUGGUGGGGGUUGGAAAGUUUCGGCGGUUGGGGAUGGACUCGCGGCUUACCAGCUUGUUGGUGGGGUAGUGGAUUACCAAGGCUUUGACGGAUAGCCGGCCUGGGAGGGUGACCGGCCACAUUGCGACUGAGAGACGGCCCAGACGCGUACGGUAGGCAGCAGUGGGGAGUAUUGCACAGUGGGCGGAAGCCUGAUACAGCAGCGCCGCGUGCGGAAUGACGGCCUUCGGGUUGUGAACCGCUUUCGCCUGUGACGAAGCGUGAGUGACGGUAAUGGGUAAAGAAGCACCGGCUAACUACGUG